CACCGCGGUUAUACGAGAGGCCCAAAUUGAUAGCCACCGGCGUAAAGGGUGGUUAUGAUCUCCCUAAAAUAAAGUCAAAUGUUUUCAAGGCUGUUAUACGCACCCGAAGAUAAGAAGCCCAACUACGAAAGUGACUUUAACAACUCUGACCCCACGAAAGCUGUGAUA
rnacentral:rRNA from 1 species